rnacentral:rRNA from 1 species
GGGUCAGUAGGUUGGUCGUGCCACCGGUACGUACUGGUCUCACUGAUUCCUCCUUCCUGAAGAACCGUAAUGCCAUUAAUUUGGUGUUGCGGGGAAACAGGACUGUUACUUUGAAAAAAAUAGAGUGUUUAAAGCAAGCUAACGCUUGAAUACAUUAGCAUGGAAUAAUGAAAUAGGACGAUCGAUCCUAUUUUGUUGGUUUCUAGGAUUGACGUA